ACUAAGGAGCCCUGCAAGCAACUGCACAGUGCCACGUGUGCAGGGCGAGAACAUUUACUGCACCACUGACAAGCUGCAGGAGAAGCUAACAAGGCUGCACCGGAAGCCAUGGGUAGGCAGCUGGGGCAGCAGACACUCCAGAGGCUGGGCCACCGUGACGAGGACGAGGGCUGUGAAGAAGGAAGUGUCAUGGCCACUGAGCUCGGCUCACCUGGAACUGCUCACAGGAGUAAAGAAAGAGGAAAGGUGGAAAGAGACUGGGAGUGGUAAAGUAGGUCUUCAUUUGUGUCAAGCUGACAAAACAGCAGCAACAACAACAACAACAGCAGCAGCAGCAACAACAGUAACAACAGCAGCAGCAGCAACAGCAACAACAGCAGCAACAGCAACAACAACAACAGCCGCAACAACAGCAGCAACAACAGCAGCAGCAGCAACAACAGUAACAACAGCAGCCACAGCAACAGCAACAACAACAACAACAGCAGCAACAACAGCAACAACAACAACAACAGCAGCAGCAACAACAACAGCAGCAGCAACAACAGUAACAACAGCAGCAGCAACAACAGUAACAACAGCAGCAACAACAACAGCAGCAGCAACAACAGUAACAACAGCAGCAGCAACAACAGCAGCAGCAGCAACAACAGUAACAACAGCAGCAGCAACAACAGUAACAACAGCAGCAACAACAACAACAACAGCAGCAGCAACAACAGUAACAACAGCAGCAGCAGCAACAACAACAACAACAGCAGCAACAAGCAGUACAUCAUUUUUCUCAAAUAAACUUGGGCAACCCAUGA